AUGGGAAAAGGAGAAGUUACGUCGAUUCUCCAUUUGGCUGAUCAGGGAGUCUGCCCGGGAGACUCAGAGUGGGAGCUUCGUCUCGGUGUCCACUGUGUUGAACUGACUCAACCUGCAUCCAUUAAUCUGAGGUCUGAUCAGACUUUGACUCUGUCCUGUAAGGUGUCUGGAUAUUCAGUAACUAGCAGCUACUGCACUAACUGGAUACGACAGACUGCUGGAAAACCUCUGGAAUGGAUUGGCAGAAUUUGUUUUGAUGGUAGCACAAAUUACAACGAUAAACUGAAAAGUAGAUUUCAAGUAACAAGAGACACUUCCAGCAACACAUUGACUCUACAAGGACAGAAUAUGAGGACUGAGGACACAGCUGUGUAUUACUGUGCACGAGAGAGCACACUGAUGUAA